GGCGCCGCCGCCGCCGCCGCCGCCGCCCGCCGGGUUCUUGGCGCUGCCGUUGGCCGAUCGGUUCUUCCCCAGUAACUCGGGCCCUUUCUCCAUCAUGCCGGGCAUGGUAGAAGAGGGGAGGGGGAAAGGUCAAUGCGGAGUGGAUCAAAGCAGAAAUAAGCCUCUCUGGCUAGAGCAAGACUUCACUGAAAGCAGAAACAUACCUAAAGCAGGAAUGUCUCAAUCAGGGAAUUGGGCCAAAAAAAAAAAAAAAAAGCCUGCAGAUUGUGUGUGUGUCAUUUGACAAGCUGAAAUUUAAAUGGAAAUUCAGAAGAUCAAGAACAGCCAAGACGGGUGCCUCAGUCGGUUAAGCGUCUGCCUUCAGCUCUGGUCAUGAUCCCAGGGUCCUGGGAUUGAGCCCCACGUCGGGCUGACUCCCUGCUCCACGGAAAGCCUGCUUCUCCC